UGUGCCCCGACUGUCAAAACCGCCAAAGUUGUGCAUGCCCUUGUGGGCUUUUGCAAUGCGAUUUCGAAGUUUAUUACCAAACAGCGUCUGGGCAUAUACAGACAAGAAGCAAGCAGCAAACAAGAGACUGGAAUGGAAGCCGCACAGAAAAAAGUUGCUGCAGCCCAUAUAGGGCACCUGCGAUGAAAAUGGC